rnacentral:rRNA from 1 species
GACGAACGCUGGCGGCGUGCUUAACACACGCAAGUCGAACGGAAAGGCCCUGCUUUUGUGGGGUGCUCGAGUGGCGAACGGGUGAGUAACACGUGAGUAACCUGCCCUUGACUUUGGGAUAACUUCAGGAAACUGGGGCUAAUACCGGAUAGGAGCUCCUGCUGCAUGGUGGGGGUUGGAAAGUUUCGGCGGUUGGGGAUGGACUCGCGGCUUAUCAGCUUGUUGGUGGGGUAGUGGCUUACCAAGGCUUUGACGGGUAGCCGGCCUGAGAGGGUGACCGGCCACAUUGGGACUGAGAUACGGCCCAGACGCCUACGGGAGGCAGCAGUGGGGAAUAUUGCACAAUGGGCGGAAGCCUGAUGCAGCAACUCCGCGUGCGGGAUGACGGCCUUCGGGUUGUAAACCGCUUUCGCCUGUGAUGAAGAGUGAGUGACGGUAAUGGGUAAAGAAGCACCGGCUAACUACGUG